rnacentral:rRNA from 1 species
UACGUAGGGUGCGAGCGUUGUCCGGAAUUAUUGGGCGUAAAGAGCUUGUAGGCGGUUUGUCGCGUCUGCCGUGAAAGCCCAGGGCUUAACCCUGGGUCUGCGGUGGGUACGGGCAGACUAGAGUGUGGUAGGGGAGACUGGAAUUCCUGGUGUAGCGGUGAAAAUGCGCAGAUAUCAGGAGGAACACCGAUGGCGAAAGGCAGGUCUCUGGGCCACUACUGACGCUGAGAAGCGAAAGCAUGGGGGAGCAAACAGG